rnacentral:rRNA from 1 species
UGGUGGUUAUGGCAUAGUGGAUCCACCUGUUCCCAUACCGAACACAGAAGUUAAGCACUAUUACGCCGAUGGUAGUACAUUCAGUUGUGCGAGAGUAGGAAGCUGC